rnacentral:lncRNA from 1 species
UUAUCAAACAACAUACUAAGAUUAAAAGAACCACACAUGUCUCUUUAUAGUUGAACCUCCAAUUACCCAAUUGCUAAUGUCUCAUAACUCUGAAAGUCUGUUCCAGUAUCAUAGUUUGCUCCAUGUUUCGACAAGUAGAACUAAAAGUAAAAAAUCAUGAAUUUGCAACUAAAAGUAUAUCCUAUUGACAAAAGAGACACGGCUAUAAGAGGAAAACUGUCAUAGAAGCUCAAAGCCGAGAGGAAAUCAAUCACACAACUUGGUAGUUUUCUGUUACCAAUUGUGUUCUCUUAGCAUAUUUAGGAGGAUUACCACCCUCAACUGGUAUGAUAUUCCUAACCUGCAAAGAGAAGCAAGGUAUUUGGUUAAGAUCCCAUUACAUCAUUAUUCAUCAAAAUCAUUAACCAUACAAACAUCUCAGGGUCAAUAAAUGUGUCAGUUUCAAGUUUUUAUCAUAUCAUCAUGACACGUCAUUCCAAAUUUCAAACUUCAACCUGCAAAUCUAGUCAGAUAAUUCAAGAUUGCAUGUACACAUGUAACAUAUAUUAUUUCCAACACAAAACCACCGGUUUAUUUACUGCAAACUUCAACCUGAAACGCAAAAAUCAAGGUUGUCCCUAGCCCUUAUUCAAAGAAAGAAAACAAAGGUAAUGAAAUAGAGAGUUUCUGGUAGUGCACUACAAGAAAGUCUCUGGCUCUAGAUCUGGAUCACAAUAGAGAGUGCAUGGGUCUUGUUUUAUCAUAUGUAAUCAAGGCAGUAAGUUGCAGACUGCAUCUAGGCUGCAAUGGUCGCUACAAUCACAUCAUGUAUUCAUGCCUUGAUUGCGAACCACAAUGACAGUUAUCCAGCCCCACCAACUAAAACCCCUAAUAGCCACAAUACAAACAUGACAGCAACUGUAACUUAAAACACUAUAUCUAUAUCUAAUUAUCAACAACAUGAUUCAUCUGAUCAAUUGCCAGAACCCCUCAACCUAUACUAGGCAAAUUUGAUCCUUUCUUACCAAGAAAUUAGAAACCGCAGAAUGAUUCUUUUGAUGCCAAAUAUGAUACACUUAAUGGUUCUCUUUCUCCAACUUUUAUCUUAUUUUAUUUAUUUCAAUCAAUAUCACUAAGAUCAUAAUUCAUAAUCAAAAAGUAAAAUGAUAAUAAGUGUAGACACCAUGUGCACAAGAUCAUUAAUAUGACAAGUAACAAAAAACUCAGCCUGAUACAAAGUCAGUAUGGUACUAUGAUAUAAGCAAUUCAUACCUUAAGCCUCCUAACUUGUCCAGAUACAAAAGCAUCACCUCUACCUAUCAACUUAAGCUUUUAGGAGAAUAAUCAUCCGCAUGAUACUAUACAUAUUAAUGGAUACUUAACAUAUUGUCAGAAAACCCCAUUAAAAAAGCCUCAUAGCUCAAACCAUUGUCAAGAACACUAGUCAAAAAGUCACACUGAUUUUUUUCAGUAAGUAUUGAAUGAAUGCGUUUCAUUGGUAUGACAAUGGCGUUUACGGUCGCGGUCAGAAAGAAAAGCAUAAAUACAAGCAAUCCUGUUAGAGACACAAAUCACUUUCAUUCUUAUGGUAGAAGUUUCCCAUCUUUGAGACUAACUAAGUUUUUUUAGAUUAUCCUAUUUCAACUCUAGUUCCUGUACUUUUACAUGCAUUAUUAAAGAUUUAUAAGCUAAACCUCAUAAAGUUAUAGGUGCAGCCUUGCAGGCUACAGAAUUAUUGGUUGAUUUUAACAUUGUUAAACUAUAUAUUUAUCCAUGUGUGUUGAAAUAAGCUAUUCAACAUGCAACUAUUAAACAACAUAAGAUUAUAUCUACACAUCCAGUGCUAAUCAUAUACUAUUAACUUCCAUAUAUUAUACCAUGAAGCCAAAGUAAAUAAAUUCCUCCAUCCAAUUACUCUUGUAGCUUGAACAAGAACCAAUCAUAGCAGACCAAGUAAACAAAUUCAUCACAAUCAUUUCAUCAAACACUUUAUGUGCCUUCUCCAAAAUUCAAUUUUCAGUGAGUAUUGAAUGAAUUACCUAUUUCCUCAAAUGAAAAGCUCGUGAUCACAUACAUAAGAAUCUAAAACCUAAAACUCAUAAACUAGAUUAAACUCAUAAAUUAGGAUCGUGAAACUCAAAUCAGAAACUCAUCAUCAAAUUCAGUUGAAUGAGAAUGAAAGUAAUCUAAAACAUAUAACUCAUAAAUUAGAUCAAAUUUAAAAAUUAGGAUCAUGAAACUCAAAUCAGAAGGCUAUUUUUUAUAAAAGGCUAUUUUAGUCAACUGCAUUUAACUAAUAAAAAAAACAAAAGUGGGUUUAAGUUAACCUCAUUAAAAGCGUGAAGAAGGUAAGAAUAUGCGAAAGAUACGGGGUUCAAGUGCUGACAAUUUUUUUUUUAAUAUAACAAUAAACGUAUUAUCAAGUUUAGAUGAAAACACAUCAAUUUUAAAAUC